rnacentral:rRNA from 1 species
AGAGUUUGAUCAUGGCUCAGGAUGAACGCUGGCGGCGUGCCUAAUACAUGCAAGUCGAGCGAACAGACGAGGAGCUUGCUCCUCUGACGUUAGCGGCGGACGGGUGAGUAACACGUGGGUAACCUACCUAUAAGACUGGGAUAACUCCGGGAAACCGGGGCUAAUACCGGAUAACACAUGAAACCGCAUGGUUUCAUGAUGAAAGACGGUUUUGCUGUCACUUAUAGAUGGACCCGCGGCGUAUUAGCUAGUUGGUAAGGUAACGGCUUACCAAGGCAACGAUACGUAGCCGACCUGAGAGGGUGAUCGGCCACACUGGAACUGAGACACGGUCCAGACUCCUACGGGAGGCAGCAGUAGGGAAUCUUCCGCAAUGGGCGAAAGCCUGACGGAGCAACGCCGCGUGAGUGAUGAAGGUCUUCGGAUCGUAAAACUCUGUUAUUAGGGAAGAACAAGGAUGUAAGUAACUGUGCAUCCCUUGACGGUACCUAAUCAGAAAGCCACGGCUAACUACGUGCCAGCAGCCGCGGUAAUAC